CCUUUGCCAAGCCCACUCACCACUCCUCCAGUCACCAACACGUACUUCAUCCCCCUCCCUCCAAAAGAAAAGAUGCUCUCUGAUGGUCUUGGAUUUGGGAUUCUCUCAUACAAAUCUCUUGCACAUGUUUAUUCUCCCAGGAACAACCAAUAUUGAGGAAGUUGGAAGCUACCAGAGAUUAGGAAGAUGAACUCAAAUGAGAUGAAGGUGAACCAGCAGAGAUGAGUUCUCAUCUUAAGAUGCUAUGUUUGCUGCACACGAUUUCACUCAACUAUACAAGUUAAGGAGGCAAGAGAAUAUGAAUUUCCAAGCUGAGAGUUUUAUAAAACUUAUUUGGUGUACAAGUGAACUAAUGUACAGUUUUAUAAAACUUAUUUGGUGUAUAUGUGAACUAUUGUACAUGUAAGCUUUUGGAAAUUUAUGUACACGUGGACAUUGAAAAUUAUGUGUACAUGUUUGAUAAUUAUGUGUACAAGUCUGCAAGUUUAUGUGUACACAUUUCUAUAAUUAGUAUCUACACGAUUUUUUAAGUUUUAUAGAUGUGGGUUUCAGAUGUGUAUAAGCAAAUGUAUUUAUACAAAGAAAAAAGUUAUACAAACACCAUUUAAAUGUACAUCGUUUUAAUAAUACACUAGAUUCUGACCCGCCCUCUCAGAGGGCGGGUAUAUUUUUUGUUUUACAUAUUUUUGUAGAAAUGUAAUUUUUAUAUUUGUGUCUUUCUUUGUAACCAUAUUUGGAUUUUUUUAUAAGCAUAUUUGUGCUUUUCUAUGUAAUCAUAUUUGUGCGAAUUUUAUUUUUAAAUUAUUACUAAGAAUUUUGAUAAUUGUAUUGAAUUAGUGAUGUUACAUAACUAUACACUUGUGCCGUAGCUAUUUCACACAUUAAUUUUUUUAUUUUAUUCGUAAAUAAAUAGAUAUUAUUUUUUUAAAAAAAUAACAAAUUAUAGUACAAUUUUUUAUUAAUAAAAUAGUAAUUAAAUAAAUGAAAAUUAUAUGUUUUUCAUUUGAAGUUUCAUGAUUUGAUUUCAUAUAUAAACAUAAUAACAUUAUUAUUACACAUAAUAGUACAAAUAAUAUUACAUCAAACAAAAAAUAUUACACAUUAUAAUAUGUCAUGCAGUUUAAAAUGGAUAUUAUAAAUCAAGGCCCGUGACCCAAAUUUGUCUGACUAUUAUAAAAAAACAUAUAAUUUCGAUUUGAAAUGCAACAAACAUGUAUGUUAUUUAAACUGCAUGGCCCAAAAUUUUCUUUAAAUACAUGUUAUAAAUCAAGGCUCAUGGCGAUUAUUAGGCAAUUUAAGGGGUGGUUACAUCAAUUUAUUAGAUUUCGAUGCAGUUAUACUAAAGCGUAUGUAUCAUUGAAAUUUUAAGUUGGACAUAACCUUUAUUAACUGGUCAUGUUGUUGUUUUAGUAUAAUAUAUUUUUAUAAAUACAUAUAUAAUGGUUUGUAAAACCAUAAAGCCAUAAUAUUUUGUGUUGUCUAAUGUCAAAUAACUUUAUAUUCAUGAUCUUGAUAUUAAAGAAAAAGAAAAACUUAUAUACAUGAUCUCAUGAUGCUAAAACAUAUACAAACCUGUUUUCUCGUAUAUAUAUUUUAUUAAAAAAUUUAAAUGCAAACUCUUAGCAGUAGAAGCAUUUAGACAUUUUAACGAAGCUCUUAUAUCAUCAAAUACAUCUUGAAAGAUUAAAGCCCAAACCUAAUUUGUCAUCCAAUAACAAAAACAAAACUUUUUUUGUGCAAAAAAAAAAAAAAAAAGACGCAAGCGGUGCGCUUCUUCUCACGAACCGUCGCAGCGCCACCACCGAACUUCAGCAAAGCAAUCCUGCAAUCCUGCAAUGAAACCUUCUGACUUUCAAUAGAUAAUAUCUAUGAGGGCAAUGAAUAGAAAAUGUGAAAUUGUGGUUCAACUCGAUAUUUGUUAUAAAGAAAAAAAAACAGUUUUGCACGCAGGUUAUGGAGAUAUCUGAAAUUGAGGCUGUUUUUCAUAAUAUGGGUUUAAUAGGAUGAGUUGAGGAGAAAUCAAUCACGAUCCUUUGAUACACGAAAAAAGGCAAAUACAUAAACCCAACUGUUUUUAAUUAAGAGAAACGUAACUGCUUGUAGUUAGAUAGAAGAUCGUGGUUUAUAUUAAAUAGAUUAUAUAUAACUAUAUAAAAGUUGAAUUUUUUUUUUAAUAAAAUCCAAUGGACACUACUUUUAUCAAUUGGUCACACUGCUGUUUUAAUAGUAUUUAUAUGUACACAUGUAAAGUGUACACAUGUACAUAAGUAAUUUUUGUACAUAUACACAUAUGUACACAUGACAUAUUAUCUAACAUAUUAUCUAAUUUUUGUGAAUAUGUAUUCAUAUUAAGUGUCAUCAUUAGUAAUUUUUGACUAUUAUGAUUAUCUAACUAUUUUAAGAAGUAAAAUAAUCUAUUUGGCGAUUUUUAUUCGAGCCGGUGGUUUUAUUGAUAAAACACCUUGAAUUCUUGAAAAAUAAAUCUAAACCGUAUCAUAUUAUUUACAAAACGUGAUAACUAUGAAUACUCAGAAAUUCGUUUUGAAUACUUUUAUUCAUAUUUAUAUGAAAUUGUAUUAAUUAACUCAUCUGACUCAAACUAAUAAGAUAACCAUGGUCCAGUAGUGAAGGAUAUGUGUACAUUCAACAUCCUCUCCACUAAUGUCCAAAACUUCAUUUUUGUCAUUUUUUUAUAUUUUUUCAUUAAUAGCAAAACCGUAAUUUACUCAUCUUCCACCUCACAAAUUUUUUUAGGGUUUCUGUAAAAUUUUCAUGGCCGCCAACAAUGGUUUCAUCUAAAAGCAUCAACUGUUGUGUGCCUUCAUGUUGUUUUGACAGCGAAUCUGUAUAUAUGUUUGCUAGUAAUCGAUUUCAAACUUUCAACUUUCCAAAACAGAGAUAUUUCCAAAACUGGGGUUCAUUACCAAUCCUUCACUGUAAUGGUUCGGCUUGUAUUCAGACUGGAACUUCUCUGAUAACGGAAACAGUCGUGUCUUUUGCAUCAAUUUCAUUUCACCAUUUCAAGUUUGAAGCUCAUAUGUCUCCAGCUAUUUGUUUGGUAUGGAUAAAAAAGAAAGUGACGAACUCCAAAAAUGUGGGACCACUUUAGUUCAAUAAAUGAGUUUAGUUUAUAAUUGUUCGGUUAAGUUUGGUUUCUAGUUUGGUUUAUAGGCACAGAAACUAUUUCAGUAGCAAGAAGUGACUCAGAAUGUAAUAAAAAGAUGAAAACUGUCUCUGAAUGUAAAUCACUCC